ensembl:lncRNA
UGUCAAAUAAUGACGUUCAUGCAUUUCGAUGUAUUCCCUGCUGACAGUCUAGGGUGGCUGUGCAGAGCGCUAAACAUUCGGGACAACAACAUUUGCGAUUCAUUUGUUCACAUUUCCGGGAAAUCAUCUACGUAGAGGCACUCCUGCCUCGCCCCCAUAUGCCUGGUCAAAUCUGCCCGCUCGCGUGCUUCAAGGAAGGUCUCUGGGCGUCUUUCUUUGGCUGCAGAUUCGUUGCUGAUGGCUGGUCAACAGGCUACUUUUGGCGCAACUUCAUGGCAUGGAAGAGAUCCGCUGCUCGCGAAAAGUUGAACUCUUUCAAACCCGGCCCAAGGCGCGAUAUGCGCAUCAGCCUCGUCACCUUUUC